CUUUCUUUUGUUGCUUGGGCAAAGAGCUGCCUUGUGCCAUCUGAGGAGUUUACAAUCGUAAAUGGCAAGGCUGUGCGCGGUAUGGGUAUUUGCGUGUGUGGUGUGUGGGCAGAGUGUGUGAAACAGGCUGCGCAGUCUCCCGCGACCUCACAGCCUCCCUCCUACAGCCCCGCACUCAGCCACACCUGCCCCCUCGAUGCCCUGUCUGCUAAAUCAUCAAGCCUCCAGAACGGCUGGGCCCUCACUCUGUCAGCGUCUAACGCAACACUUGAGGCCAGCCGACGAAGCCUUUCCUCCCACGCCCUUUGGAACCGUCUAGUGUGUUAGCCUCUUCGAUAACACUCUUGGUUCUCCUGGAGGAUGCCCUUCCCUGGCAUUCCGGGGCGGGGGGACGCUGCUCAUCCUUGUGCGCGUGCACACACACACCCAUCUCAAGGUACCGACGUUGGGAUACAGCCUUCCACUGAUAAGCAUCAUCUCCUCCGCCACACCACCAGCUGUAGGGCAGGGUAACCGCACCCGCUGCUCCAGAGGGUGGACCCUGAUUAGUCUAAGCCAAUCAUCGGUCUCUUGCCAGUGAUUGGUGCAGGAGUCAGCAUGUGACCCAAUUCUGGCCAACGAGAUGUGAGGAGAGGUCUGCUCAGGGACUUCUGGGAAAGGAUUCCUCGCUUCUAGGAAGGAGACUACGGAAAGAGUGCCUGUUUUCUGCCGUUGAGCACUGAUGGGCCUGAGUGUAAUUCCUGGAACUGCUCCGACCAUCUUGCAAUCGUGAGGGUCAACAGUGUUUCGAUGAAGUUGAGGCAGUGCAAUGGAAGGAACCUCGAUGAUGUUACUGUAUUAUUGAGCCCUAUUACACUGAAAAAUCUCCUUCCUCUGGACUUCCUAUCAAGUGAAAUAAUAGAGGCGUUAUUAUUUGUCAUCUAUAAUCAAGAUAUCCUAGCUGAGGCAGCCCUGCGCUUCUCCCACCCCCUGGGGACUCCUCCCCUAUGUAAGGCUCCUGUGUGGCUCCAGACGGUGGGAGGCCACCAGGGUGUCCUACUGCCAGGACCUGCCUGCCAGAUUGAAUACCCUGGUACCACCACAAAACAUAUGUGACCUUGACCCUGAUGUCACCCUACAGCCAGAACUGAUGAUGGCCACCAGUGCCUGUCGUCCAGAACCCUUUGCAUGGUAUUAUCCAGUAUUUCUGUCCAGCCUCACAUCCAGACCUGCUUCACUGGGCUUCCUCUGCUUCAGGCUCAUCUCCCCAUCUGGAGUAGCUACCAUCCAUCUCCUCUGGACCAAUUCUGCUCCUCCUCCAAAGGGAAGCUGUCAUCAUCUACUCAGCAGCUGCUAUGUACCCAGCAUCAUUCUAAGCACUGGGCCCCCAGGUGUAAGGCAGGAACCAUGGCCUGGCAGGUGCUCUGCCAUGCACACUCACCUGGACUGCUGAUGCAAGAGGGGUCUUUACACCCAUCCUGCCCAGCCCACACUGCACAGGAGAGACUGAGGCCCAGAGAGGGGAAACCGCACAGGGUCUCACAGAUAGAGCAAAGUCUAGAACUCAGGCUACCAGCUUGAUGUCACUGAAGAGGAAGUCAGGGAAAGCGGUGCAAAGAGCCGGUUCUCACAAGACAGUACAAGCCAGCUGCAGCGGACCAGUGACGCGGAAACAUGCACCCGCCUCCAGACAGCGCCUCAGGAGCGGGCAGGACCUUUUACGGGGUGAUUCCUGGGUGCCUGGGACUGAAACCCUAGUUUAAGACCUUGUGAGCUGCUGCAAAAGAUCUCGGAGCCUGGCUUGGCACGGAGGAAGUGGAGCCACCCUUCCUCAGAAUAAACUAUUUGAGCUUGAGGAAGAGGUUCCCGCAGCGGCCACGUGGGGCUGAAGAACAGGACCUUUGCUCAAGCUUCAGGACAUUGCAAACCACCCUGGCUCACCCUAAGGACGGCAUGCUCCAGACAAUGACUCCACCGUGGUGACUGGGAGCUCAGAGCCACAUUUAUGAAAAUAAAAUACUGUGAUAGUUCUUGCAUAUGAUCGUUGGGAUGCAAAUUCAUGCCUGCUACAAAGAGAUGACAGCCUUCUUCCGAGUUAUGAGGGCUUAUGCCUUCAGGUUUCUCAGUCUAGGAGGGAAAAUGAAACUAGUAUUCAAAUAUGCCCCCAAAAAUGUGCUAUGCACCACAAUAAGGAACAUCAGUAUAGUAAGAAGACUAUCACACAGUUACAUAUUAUCACAUGUGUAAAGAACUUUCACAUGUAAGAUCUCCUUUUAUCCUCCUCACGACCUUGCCAAGCUGACUAUAGUUCCAUUUCCCAGAUUUGGACGUUGACAGUCAGAGAGGCCCAAGACCAUACCGUCCAUCCGUGCAGAACCAGCACUCUCCUUACUAUCUUCUAUAUGCCAUGCUCAGUGUUCCUCCCCCUACAGAAUGACAGACUCAUCUGGGUGUGCCCAGAACCUUCCCACUUUUAGCACUGACAGUCUUGCACCUUGGGAAACACAUCAGUCCUCCCUUGCAUUAUGGCCAAUAGGAUAUAAGCGGAGGUUCCUUAGCUGUAUUUCCAGGAUCAGGUUCCUUAAAAGGAUGAGCCAGUCAGGCAAUGCCCCUUUGCUUCUUCCUGUUUUUCUUCUUGCUUGGAACUUGCAUGUGAUGACUAGAGUGCCAGCAGCCAUCCUGUGACCCUGAAGAUGAAAGCAAUAUGCUAAUGAAGUUGGAGCAGAAAGAUAGAAAGAGGCUGGGUCCCUUGUGACUAUGAGCUGCCAUAACCACCCUGGACCACCUACUUGCAGACUUCCUUUAUAUGAGAAAAUAAACCCUUAUGUAUUUAGACCACUGGAGUGAAUUCUCCAUUGCUGGCAGCCAGUCAGAGAAUAGCUCAAGCAAAGGCAUGAAGGCGAGAAUGCACACAGCUUUUGAAAUUGUGUGGUUAUUCCCCCAGGGUUUAGCUAGUUUUUUAAGAUUUUAAUCUCUUUAAGAUUUCUUCCCCUGCUCUCACUCAUGAGCCUCUCCCUGCAAUUCACGAUGGUGCAUAAUGGAGUCCUGAGACCCAGGAUCUCAUGUUUCUUUUUUCCCUUGGUACUUCUGUUGAUCUCCUAGCCUUUCAUGCAUUUAAUCAAUGGCGUUAACGACCCCUGGGAAUGAGUGUGCAGAAAAAAGCAGAAAACAAAAGUGUCAAUUCUUGGCUUUUGAGUUACAAAACAGUCUUUUGGAACUCACAGCAAAGACAUUAGUUGGAGAAAGGCUUUUUGAAUUUCAAAAGCCUGGAUACUAUACAUUAUUGUGGAAUUUCAGAGUACUGAGGACAAAAGAAGACUACAAGCUUUCCAAGAGCAAAGAACAGCUGACAAACAAAAGAAGAAGAACCAGAAUAGCUCCAGAGCUCUCAGCAGCAAAUUGCUAGAAAACAGGGGAGCAAUGCCUUCAAAAUUUGGGGAGGAAAUUUUCAACCUAAAAGUCUAUUCCCAGCCAGAUUAUCAAUCGAAGGAUAGCAGAUUAAAGAUACUUUCAGAUAUCCAAAUCCUCGAAUAUUAUAUCUCCUACAGACCCUUUCUUUAGGUAGCAAAUGUAAAACAAGAAAGAGAAAGAUACUGGAUCCAGAAAGCAGGGGAUCCAACCCAGGAGAGCAAUAAAGGGAAGCCCCAGGAAAAUGUGUUCAGUUGGCCUAACGAGCAACCAGGAGAUGGAGCUUGUGGGAAAACCUGUAGCCACAGGUAGGGAGAAAAACAGACAAAUGAAAAACGGGGCAAUUCUUAACUCCAGGACAAACAAAGAGUUAAAUACGAUAAAGGCAUGGUGAUAUUGGACUCUUUGUUCAGCUGGGAACAAUAUUUGCAUAUUUGUUAUGGUAUAUACACCAUCUAAUAAAUUGACCACAAUUGUGA
rnacentral:lncRNA from 1 species